rnacentral:rRNA from 1 species
AUUGAACGCUGGCGGCAGGCUUAACACAUGCAAGUCGAGCGAGCGGCGGACGGGUGAGUAAUGUCUGGGAAACUGCCUGAUGGAGGGGGAUAACUACUGGAAACGGUAGCUAAUACCGCAUACCAUCAGAUGUGCCCAGAUGGGAUUAGCUUGUAGGUGGGGUAAUGGCUCACCUAGGCGACGAUCCCUAGCUGGUCUGAGAGGAUGACCAGCCACACUGGAACAGAGACACGGACCAGACUCCUACGGGAGGCAGCAGGGGGGAAUAUUGCACAAUGGGCGCAAGCCUGAUGCCGCCAGGCCGCGUGUGUGAAGAAGGCCUUCGGGUUGUAAAGCACUUUCAGCGGGGAGGCGUUACGCGCAGAAGAAGCACCGGCUAACUCCGUGCCAGCAGCCGCGGUAAUUC